UUAGAGUUUGAUCCUGGCUCAGGACGAACGCUGGCGGCGUGCUUAACACAUGCAAGUCGAACGGAAAGGCCCUGCUUUUGUGGGGUGCUCGAGUGGCGAACGGGUGAGUAACACGUGAGUAACCUGCCCUUGACUUUGGGAUAACUUCAGGAAACUGGGGCUAAUACCGGAUAGGAGCUCCUGCUGCAUGGUGGGGGUUGGAAAGUUUCGGCGGUUGGGGAUGGACUCGCGGCUUAUCAGCUUGUUGGUGGGGUAGUGGCUUACCAAGGCCUUGACGGGUAGCCGGCCUGAGAGGGUGACCGGCCACAUUGGGACUGAGAUACGGCCCAGACUCCUACGGGAGGCAGCAGUGGGGAAUAUUGCACAAUGGGCGGAAGCCUGAUGCAGCAACGCCGCGUGCGGGAUGACGGCCUUCGGGUUGUAAACCGCUUUCGCCUGUGACGAAGCGUGAGUGACGGUAAUGGGUAAAGAAGCACCGGCUAACUACGUGCCAGCAGCCGCGGUGAUACGUAGGGUGCGAGCGUUGUCCGGAUUUAUUGGGCGUAAAGGGCUCGUAGGUGGUUGAUCGCGUCGGAAGUGUAAUCUUGGGGCUUAACCCUGAUGCGUGCUUUCGAUACGGGUUGAUCUUGAGGAAGGUAGGGGAGAAUGGAAUUCCUGGUGGAGCGGUGGAAUGCGCAGAUAUCAGGAGGAACACCAGUGGCGAAGGCGGCUCUCUGGGCCUUUCCUGAUCGCUGAGGAGCGAAAGCGUGGGGAGCGAACAGGCUUAGAUACCCUGGUAGUCCACGCUGUAAACGGUGGGUACUAGGUGUGGGGUCCAUUCCACGGGUUCCGUGCCGUAGCUAACGCUUUAAGUACCCCGCCUGGGGAGUACGGCCGCAAGGCUAAAACUCAAAGGAAUUGACGGGGCCCCGCACAAGCGGCGGACAUGCGGAUUAAUUCGAUGCAACGCGUAAAAC
rnacentral:rRNA from 1 species